UUGUAUUGUUCUAUGUUUGUUGACUUGCGU
rnacentral:piRNA from 1 species